rnacentral:rRNA from 1 species
UACGGGAGGCAGCAGUGGGGAAUAUUGCACAAUGGGCGAAAGCCUGAUGCAGCUAUGCCGCGUGUAUGAAGAAGGCCUUAGGGUUGUAAAGUACUUUCAUCGGGGAGGAAAAACAAAACUAAUAAUUUUAUUUCUUGACGUUACCCGAAAAAGAAGCACCGGCUAACUCCGUGCCAGCAGCCGCGGUAAUACGGAGGGUGCUAGCGUUAAUCAGAAUUACUGGGCGUAAAGAGCACGUAGGUGGUUUUUUUAAGUCAGAUGUGAAAUCCCUGGGCUUAACCUGGAACUGCAUUUUGAAACUGAAAUACUAGAGUAUCGUAGAGGGAGGUAGAAUUCUAGGUGUAGCGGUGAAAUGCGUAGAUAUCUGGAGGAAUACCUGUGGCGAAAGCGGCCUCUAAACGGAAUACUGACACUGAGGUGCGAAAGCGUGGGGAGCAAACAGGGAUUAGAUA